CAUGUUAUAGGUUACAAUUUAGCUCAGUGGUUCUCAACCUGUGGGUCACCGGAUGUUUUGGCCUUCAGCUCCCAGAAAUCCUAACAGCUGGUAAACUGACUGGGAUUUCUGGGAGUUGUAGGCCAAAGCAUCUGGGGAUCCAAAUCAGUGGAUCUCAACUUGAGGACCCACAGGUUGAGUUCCACUGAUUUAGCUCCUCAAUUUUAUUAGUCUGCAAACAGAUUUUGGCUUCUCUUUACUCAAAGAUGGAGUGUUAUGACCCUCCUUUGUCAGUUUCUCCCAUAAGAAAAAACCAGGCAAUUGAAAUGCUUUAAAAGCUACACAUUUAGAAGCUUCUUACACAAUAUCUCAUCCCUCUAUUUAUCCUUUUAGUCAUCCCCUGCCUUUCCUCCAAAGCUGAAACUUCUGCUAGUUUAUGAAACAAAAAUAAAUAAAUAAAUAAAAACAACUGGCCAAAAACAUUAUAAAAGUUUAAAGUGGCGAUUAAAAUAAUGAGUCCUCCCUCAAGAGCUCAACCGACAAGAGUGACUUUGUUUAUGGAGUGGCUUCUUCGGGGGUAUUUGUACAUAUGCAAAAACCAAGAAGGAAACUGGAUCAGUAAAUCCUAAUUCAGCUCCCCCCCCUUGUUAAGUGUUUAUUUGAAAGCAACGCUGCUACGGCUUUGUUUCUCCCAUCUAACUACACCUUAAAGAUUUGGGUUUUCCAGAAAGUGUACUUGGUAGGAUCAAUUUUUACGAAUUUUGUGUGCAACUGUUUGUUCCUCUGCUAUUGACAGGCAUGGCAAUUUGGCACCUUAAUUACUAUUCAAUUCCCUCUCUGCAGGCUCCAGAUGGAAAUUAUUAGCACUUUUCUUAAUUACGACAAUGAAGACCAUAAGUGGAGAAUCAAGAGAAGAAAACAAGUUGAGUUACUUAUCCCUGCAAGCGAGGAUGAAGCAAUUGAGCACCUGUAUCCCAAAGUUCAACAUUGUCUCCUUUAGUGGCUCCCAACAUGUGAGCAGCAGACCACUGAUGGUACUUCGGGUGGUCUGUGAAGGACUCCUUAGUGGAAGUGAAAUGUAUGAACCAAUCACAGGAAGAGAGAAGGGUGAAGAUCACACUAAUGGAGCCUCUCAUCAUUUCAUCAUUUGCCAUCAUUUCUGUUUUUUACACUGUGUAAUAAAUAUGAAAUAUUUAUAUAUAGGCUUCUAAUACUGGGAAAAGGCAGGCUUUAAAUGGAUAAAAUAAAUACAAAUACAUAAGUAAUACCUUUGUGUGUGAUGUUUGAUACACGCUAAAUUCAAAAGUGCAAACAACUUUCUUACACAGGGCCCACAAAACCUUUGAUACUGAUGCAGUCUGCAUAAAAGAAAAGGCUCAGGAUCAAUAAUCUGCUAGCAGUGAUUCUCUAGGCUUUCAGGCUAGGGACAUUCUCAUAACUGUCUGAAGACUCGUAAGAACUGAACUUGGGAAUUUCUGCAUGAAUAGCAUGUGUGCUGUCAAUGAGUCAUGGCUCACACUUCUCAUCUUUUUUCUUACACUUUUAGUAAAGCCUUUAGUUUAAUUACUG
ensembl:lncRNA